AUGUAAAUUCCUACAACAUAGCGUUAAUGCACCGGAUCCCAUUAGAACUCCGUAGUUAAGCACGCUUGGCAUAGAGUAGUACUGGGAUCAGUGACUUCCCAGGAAGUCCUAGUAUUUUACAUG
rfam:Picea glauca, whole genome shotgun sequence.